AUUGAACGCUGGCGGCAGGCCUAAUACAUGCAAGUCGAACGGUAACAUGAAAAAGCUUGCUUUUUUUGAUGACGAGUGGCGGACGGGUGAGUAAGGUUUGGGAAACUGCCUGAUAGAGGGGGACGAACAGUUGGAACGACUGCUAAUACCGCAUACAGCCGAGAGGUGAAGGAGCAAUCCGCUAUCAGAUGUGCCCAAAUGGGAUUAGCUAGUAGGUGAGGUAAAGGCUCACCUAGGCGACGAUCUCUAGCUGGUCUGAGAGGAUGAUCAGCCACAUUGGGACUGAGACACGGCCCAGACUCCUACGGGAGGCAGCAGUAGGGAAUAUUGCACAAUGGGGGGAAACCCUGAUGCAGCGACGCCGCGUGAGCGAUGAAGUAUUUCGGUAUGUAAAGCUCUAUCAGCAGGGAAGAAAAUGACGGUACCUGAUGAAUAAGCCACGGCUAACUACGUG
rnacentral:rRNA from 1 species